rnacentral:rRNA from 1 species
GACGAACGCUGGCGGCGUGCCUAAUAUAUGCAAGUCGAACGCAUUUUCUUUCACCGUAGCUUGCUACACCGAAAGAAAAUGAGUGGCGAACGGGUGAGUAACACGUGGGUAACCUGCCCAUCAGCGGGGGAUAACACUUGGAAACAGGUGCUAAUACCGCAUAAUUCCAUUUACUGCAUGGUAGAUGGAUGAAAGGCGCUUUUGCGUCACUGAUGGAUGGACCCGCGGUGCAUUAGCUAGUUGGUGGGGUAACGGCCUACCAAGGCUGCGAUGCAUAGCCGACCUGAGAGGGUGAUCGGCCACACUGGGACUGAGACACGGCCCAGACUCCUACGGGAGGCAGCAGUAGGGAAUCUUCGGCAAUGGACGCAAGUCUGACCGAGCAACGCCGCGUGAGUGAAGAAGGUUUUCGGAUCGUAAAACUCUGUUGUUAGAAAAGAACAAGGAUGAGAGUGGAAAGUUCAUCCCUUGACGGUAUCUAACCAGAAAGCCACGGCUAACUACGUG